AGGUGGACUUCUCUGCCCUGACUCACGUUAAGACCUUUUAAUCAAAUACCGAGCAAACUAAGCAAGUCACUUCCAGUCACGUGAGCCAUGCCUGGGGAAAUGCGCAUGCGCUCGGACUCCAGCCUAGUUUGUAGGAGGAGCAGCUGACCCAGAAGAAUCACAGAUCCUUCUUGACUGUUGAAGUCCUUUGGGAAAAUCUGGAAGAAACGGAUUUCGGUCCCAGAGCCAAGUCCCUGAUUUCAUUGUCAUAGUUGCAGAUGGAUAACGGUUAAGGAACAAUCUGAAAUUCAAUGCAGAAGAAGGUAGAGCUAGUGAUAAUAGGUAAAAGGUGAAGAGAGAGCCUCAUUGCUAGCAUAUUAUGCUAAAUGCCAAAUCAAUGAAGAAGGAAUAGGAACAGAAGAAAGCAGGAUUCCACUAAAGCAAGAAUAAUUUUAUUUACAUAGUCUGUAGGUUUACCCACCAAAGAUAACUUUGGCAUGAAAAAACUUACUGUAAAAUCAGCAUUGAAAUUUGUUGCCUGCUCCAAUCAAGAUUUGUAACUACGGGAAAAAUCCUUCCAAAGUUUCCAGCUAUAAAUUUAUACCAAGAUAAUUGCAAAAUGUCUAGCAAGGAAGUGAAGACUGCUCUGAAAAGUGCUAGAGAUGCAAUCAGAAACAAAGAAUACAAAGAAGCUUUGAAACAUUGUAAGACAGUGUUAAAACAAGAGAAAAAUAACUAUAACGCCUGGGUAUUUAUCGGUGUGGCCGCAGCCGAGCUAGAACAACCUGAUCAGGCCCAGGGUGCCUAUAAGAAAGCAGCUGAACUAGAGCCAGACCAAUUGCUAGCUUGGCAGGGGUUAGCAAGCCUGUAUGAGAAAUGUAAUCAGAUAAAUGCUAAGGAUGACUUACCUGGUGUUUACCAAAAGCUCCUGGAUCUUUAUGAAAGUGUUGACAAACAGAAGUGGUGUGAUGUCUGUAAGAAACUUGUGGAUCUGAAUUAUCAAGAAAAGAAACACAUAGAGGUGGCUCAAACAUGGCACAAAUUGAUAAAGAUACGGCAAGAAGCAGGUGCAGACAACCAAGAGCUUCAUCAGCUAUGGAGGAAAUUGACUCAUUUGCUGGCUGAGUGUACUGAGGAUCAGAAUAAUGAGACACAGCAAUUGCUUUUAACUGCUUUUGAGAAUGCACUGGAUUUAUCAGAUAAGAUUCCUAGUGAAGAUCAUCAAGUACUUUAUAGACAUUUCAUUCAGUGUUUAUCCAAAUUUCCUCAUGAGACUGCUAGGUUGAAGAAGGCCUGCGAAGGAAUGAUAAACAUCUACCCUACUGUGCAAUAUCCAUUAGAAGUGCUUUGUUUGCAUUUAAUUGAAUCAGGAAGUCUUACUGAAGAGGGACAACAGUAUUGUUGUAGACUAGUGGAAAUGGAUUCAAAAAGUGGUCCAGGCCUCAUUGGUUUAGGCAUUAAAGCAUUACAAGACAAAAAGUAUGAAGAUGCUGAUAGGAACUUAAGAGAAGGGUUAAAAGAAAGCCCUCUCUGCACAACUGGAUGGUAUCAUCUGGCAGAAGCCCAAGUCAAAAUGCAUAGACCAAUGGAAGCUGUUCUUUCAUGCAAUCAAGCUCUGAAGAACAUAGAUAAUGUUGGUGUGUCUGGUGGCAGUCUUCAUCAGAAGAAUCUUUGUCUUCGUUUGAAAGCAGAGGCUUUGAUUAAACUCCCAGAUAAUGAAUCUGCAGAGGAAGCAAUUUAUACUCUUGACCAGGUUUCUGAUGCAAAUAAUAUCCCAGGACUUUUGGUUCUCAAAAGCUUGGCCUAUCUGAACAAAGGCUCAUUAGAUGAAGCUUCAAAGAUUAUGGAAGACGUUCUCUCUUCUUACCCUGACCUAGCUGAAGCUCAUGCCCUGGAGGCCUUUAUUCAUUUUUCCAAAAAGGACUAUCUACAAGCUGAAAAAUGUUUUCAGAGAGCUCUUGAGAAAGAUGCUGAAGUUGCUGAAUAUCAUUACCAACUUGGGUUAACAUAUUGGUUCAUGGGUGAAGAAACAAGAAAAGAUAAAACAAAGGCUCUUACCCACUUUUUAAAGGCUGCCAGACUGGAUACAUACAUGGGCAAAGCCUUCUGCUAUUUAGGUCAUUAUUACAGAGAUGUAGCAGGAGAUAAAAACAGAGCCCGUGGAUGUUAUAGGAAAGCUUUCGAAUUGGAUGACACUGAUGCUGAAUCUGGAGCUGCAGCUGUUGAUUUAAGCGUGGAGCUUGAAGAGAUGGAAACUGCCUUAGCUAUCCUAACAACAGUAACUCAGAAGGCAAGUGCUGGAACUGCCAAAUGGGCCUGGCUUAGGCGAGGACUGUACUAUUUGAAAGCUGGUCAACAUUCUCAAGCAGUGGCUGAUUUACAGGCAGCAUUAAGGGCAGACCCAAAGGACUUCAAUUGUUGGGAAUCAUUAGGAGAGGCAUACUUAAGCAGAGGUGGUUAUACAACAGCCUUGAAAUCCUUCACAAAGGCCAGUGAGCUGAACCCAGAAUCCACAUACAGUGUGUUUAAGGUGGCAGCAAUACAGCAAAUCCUAGGCAAAUAUAAGGAGGCUGUAGCUCAAUACCAGCUGAUCAUUAAAACGAAAGAAGAUUAUGUACCUGCUUUGAAAGGUUUGGGUGAGUGCCAUCUCAUGAUGGCAAAAGCAGCUCUAGUUGAUUAUCUUGAUGGGAAAGCUGUUGACUACAUAGAAAAAGCACUGGAAUAUUUUACUUGGGCUCUGCAACAUCGAGAUGAUGUUUCUUGCCUUUGGAAGCUAGUUGGGGAUGCUUGUACCAGUCUGCAUGCUGUCUCGCCAUCUAAAGUGAAUGUUAAUGUUUUAGGAGUCCUUCUAGGCCAGAAAGAAGGAAAACAAGUAUUAAAGAAAAAUGAGCUCCUCCAUCUAGGAGGAAGGUGUUACGGGCGUGCUUUAAAACUGAUGUCUACAUCUAGUACAUGGUGUGAUCUUGGAAUUAAUUAUUAUCGUCAAGCACAACAUCUAGCAGAAACUGGCAGCAACAUGAAUGAUCUUAAAGACUUGUUGGAGAAAUCAUUACAUUGUCUGAAAAAGGCAGUGAGACUCAACAGUAAUAGUCACUUAUACUGGAAUGCUCUUGGUGUGGUUUCAUGUUAUAGUGCUAUUAAAAAUUAUGCCCUGGCUCAGCAUUGUUUCAUCAAAUCAAUCCAGUCGGAGCAAAUUAAUCCUGUUGCAUGGACCAACUUGGGAGUGUUAUACCUUGCAAAUGAAAACAUUGAGCAAGCUCAUGAAGCUUUCAAAACUGCUCAGUCCCUUGAUCCAUCUUAUUUAAUGUGCUGGAUUGGACAAGCCCUUAUUGCAGAGACAGUUGGAAGUUACGACACCAUGGAUCUUUUCAGGCACACCACAGAACUCAGUAUGCACACUGAGGGAGCAAUCGGUUAUGCAUACUGGGUCUGUACUACAUUGCAAGAUAAAAGCAACAGAGAAACAGAGCUGUACCGGUACAACAUCCUCCAGAUGAAUGCUAUCCCAGCAGCACAAGUUGUUUUGAGUAAAUACAUAGAAAGAAUUCCAAACUAUGCUCCAGCUCUCACAAUGUUGAGUUAUUUAAAUGAACAUCUACAGCUGAAAAAGGAAGCAGCAGAUGCACUCCACAGGGCAAUUUUGUUGUUACAGAAUGCAGAAGACCAAGUUAAUUAUCAUGAUGCAAUUAGAAAUUAUGGCAGAUUGUUAUGUUCCAUUGGUGAAUAUGAUAAAGCUAUCCAGGCUUUUAAGUCAACACCCCUUGAAGAGUUAGAAGACAUCAUAGGGUUUGCACUGGCUUUAUUUAUGAAGGGUCUCUAUAAAGAGAGCAGCAAAGCCUAUGAGAGAGCCUUGUCUGUUGUUGAAUCAGAGCAAGACAAAGCCCACAUCUUGACAGCUCUGGCAAUAACGGAGUAUAAACAAGGAAAAAUGGAUGUAGCCAAGACAUUGCUGUUUAAAUGUAACCCAGCUGAUCCUGCUCUUUGGUCUCUGUUGUCCCGAGUGGUUGCUCAGUAUGCACAACGUAAUGCAAAGGGAGGUGCUGUAGCAGGAAAUGUGGCUCAUAUUCUGGACUCAAAUCAUGGAAAGAAGGCAUUACUGUACACUGCAGUAAAUCAGUUGGCUAUGGGAAGCAGUUCAGCAGAAGAUGAAAAAAAUAUUGCACUAAAGACCAUUCAGAAGGCAACUCUCCUUUCUCCAGGUGAUCCUGCUAUCUGGGCUGGGCUAAUGGCAGCUUGUUAUGCUGAUGAUAAACUGGCUCUAGUGAACAACACUCAGCCAAAAAGGAUGGACUUGUAUUUGGCACUGUUAUCUGCUGUUUCUGCUUCAAUUAAAGACAAAGAAUUCUUUGAAAGUUACAACGAAUCUCUGGAAAAGUGGUCUCUCUCCCAAGCUGUCACAGGCCUAGUAGACACAGGAAGAAUAUCAGAAGCUGAAGCCCUUUGCACAAAGAAUUUAAAAAGCAACCCUGAUCAGCCAGCUGUUAUCUUACUUUUGAGACAAGUGCAGUGUAAACCACUCCUGGAAUCACAAAAGCCUCUCCCUGAUGCUGUCCUUGAAGAGCUGCAAAAAACUGUUAUGUCCAACUCAACCUCCGUUCCAGCAUGGCAGUGGUUGGCGCACAUAUAUCAGUCUCAAGGAAUGAUGAGUGCUGCAGAGAUGUGUUAUAGGAAGAGUCUACAAGUUGCAUCCCAGCAGGGCAGUUGGAAUGGGAAGCUGUCGAGUCUGUUGAGGCUAGCACUGCUUGCAUUAGAAGUCUGCAUGGCCAACAUUUCAAAUGAUCACUGGCCAUCCUUGGUUCAGGAAGCUACAACUGAGGCCUUAAAGCUUUGCUUUUGUCCACUGGCUAUCCUUUUACAAGCUUUGUUACAGUUCAACCGCAAAAUGGGGGCAAGAGAGACACGGCGACUUUUGGAGAGACUGGUGUAUCAGCCUGGCUAUCCCAAAUCUAUUGUAUCAACUGCACGUUGGUACCUACUGAGGCACUUACAUGCCAAAAAUGAUGGCGAGCUCAUUGAUGUAAGGCAUUUAUUUUAUUCAGAAUAUAUCAUCUUGGACCUUUGUUGGAAGAGGGGUGAAGGUUGCUGUCCUCUGCAUUGUAGGAUUUUGGCAGCAUCCCUAACCACUCUAACCACUGCAUCCCAGUAGCACUGUCCUCCUUCCUCCACCCAACUUGUGACAACCAAGAUUGUCUUCUAGACAUUGUGCUGGUAAACAAUGCCAAAACUCAUGGAGAUACAAGAGUACUGGACCUGAAUCAAAAACUGUCCUCACAAUAACAAUGUAUUUUUUAUAUAAAGCAAGCAAAAAAAAGCUGUUAGAGUGAAACAAUGAAUCAGUACUCUUCCCCAAAGCAACAUUUUUUUAAAAACUAUGUGUUAUUCAUUGCUUUUUUAAAAUCUAAAGAUGUUUAAGUUCUUAAACUAGGGCUGUAAUUUUCCACGAACUCUAAUGUAACUUUAAUCUGAAAAACAGCUUUGAUUUUGAGAAGUCUGUAAUAAGAGGAAAAACCAUGAUUCCCUUAGUUAUUCAACACUUAUUUGUAAAGCAUUAUUUUUUUCCAUUUUCGCAUGAUGCACAAUAGGAUUUUUUUUGUAUGAUCCCUUACAAUAAAGCCUUAAUAGCUGUUUCUAAAUAAUAUGCAAAAGCAAAUUAGCACACUAUAGAAUUUAGUUUCUUUUAUGAAUUUUUAGAGUUUAGCUCAUCAUAAAAUCCAAAUAAUCUUAUGACCUAUUUUACUAAUAGUUCACCUCAGAAUUUGUCAAUAAAGCAUGAUAUAAGUGUUGGUGAGUCUUAAAUUGCUAAUGGACUUGUUUAUAUAAUUCAAGACAUUCAGGUGUAUGACUGCAUUUAAAAAAAAUGAAUGGAAAAUUUUGGAAUAUAAUGCUGACAAUAUUUAAUCAUGUAAUUCCUUCAAUUAUGAAAAUACUUGAAUUUUCUGAAAUAAAAAAAUAUAGUGUCUUAUUUUCUUUAUACUAUCAAUAUCAGAUAUAAUUUUUAAAUUUCAAAUUUUUGAGAGAACAUUUACUUAUUUUAUUUCAAUUUUUCAAAGAGCCAUUUAUAUAUUUUUGAAAAAACUAUAUGUCACUUACUUUGAAUUAGUGUUUUAAAAAUGUUUUUAGACAUUUACAUAUAUUAUUUAUUGUACAAAAAUGUGUGGUUGUAUUUUAUGUAUGUAGUUUUUUCAAGUCAGCACCUUCACAAUGUUACUUUGUGAGAUAAGUUGAUGAUAUUCUGUAAUUAAAUUUUACUUCGGAGGUUAAUCUGUUGAACUACUUUUAAUUUGAUGAAUUCCCAACUUUGGCUGAAUAUUCCAUCAUUCAGACCUGAGCAAUUAGAAUAUUUAAGGAUGGGGCCUAGGUCUCUGCAUUUUAAGGGCAUGCCUAAGAGAUUCGUAUGCCCAUUCAGGUUUGUGCACCACUAGAUUAAUCCAAUAAUGAUUCUCCCCUUUAUUUCUUCUUUUAACAAGAUUAGGCAACUUGCCAUUCUGCCCCCAUUUAUUUCUUAUCCUCACAUGUGUCAAACUGAUUCUGUGCUUUUAACAGCCUGGCCUGUAGACUUAGCCCAGUUGUGCUGCGAGAUGCCAGUGCAGCCAGUGCCCGAGCCCUCCUGCUCCCUCAGGACAGCACUCAGCCUUUACCUCCGGAGCAGGCUGUUCUCAUCUGCUUAAAUGCUUGGGAUUCUAGGUCUCCAUCCUCUUCCUGGGGAUCACUUCACAAGGUAACUUUACCUCUGGUGUGGAGUGGUUAGCCUUAGCUCCAGGCCUAAAAUCAAACUGUUUCCUAGUUCUGGCCUCCAGGGGCCUCAGACCCAGGUUUUCUAGAAGGCAAGACUGGAAAAAAAACCUUAUCAAACCUAUCUCAGGUGAUUCUUUUUGAUAUAGAUGUACAUACAUCCUCUUCUUGUUUAUUGCCUUCUUUUCAAAUUAUUGUCCAGUUACUAUGAACCUUAAAUCACUGUAUAAUUUUUAUAGAGCUUACUUCAUGCAGACAUAUGCUAAGUGUUUUAAACAUUGCCAUUUAAACCUAGUUAGCAAAGGAGAGUGAUGGUAAACAGUAUACUUAAAGCAAAGGAAAUUCCCAGGGAAUCAGUGCUAUUAGAUUCUAGGAAUUUUAAAAGUAGCUGAAAGUUCCCUUCAGAGUUUAUACAUAAGCUUAGAGAACUUACAUUAAAUCUUAUUUCCUGAAGCACCAAUAUUUAGCAUUUAUAUUAUUUCAUUGUUUUUGUUAGAUUUUUUUUUUUGAAUUAUAGUGCUUUUUCUGCUCAUUUUUACCUACCAUUUGGCUAUUACUGAUUAGACGUUUAUAGACUAGGUUGGGCAUCUGAUAACCAUUUUCUGUGGUAGAAAUACAGUUCGGCUUACGAGUAAACUUUUGGAACACAACCUGGGAUCAUAUAUUUUUUAAGGUAUCUCUUGCAUUAAUUUCUGGUUAGGAUAAAAAUACAACCUUAGUUUAAAAUGCUAUACUCUUUCACUUUAUAGAGUUGAUAAACUUCCUUCAAGUUGGUAAUCUACAUAGAACAGCAUUGGACAGAAAUACUCAAGUUACUGUACAUUAAGGGAGUUAAAAGAUGUACAUUAAGGAACUAAAACAAUAUGAAACAUUAGGAAAAUAUUCACUGAUAAGUAAUAUGUGGAUAUGAAAUGAUACAUUUUGGUUGUCCCAUAGAAAGUUUGAUGUCUGCUUUGGGGAAAUAGUACAGGCACAACAAAAGGAAGCAUAAUUUAUGUAUCAGUCAUUGUGACUUGCAGAUCCAUUUCAAUUUUUGCACAUUAAAAAUGUGGAAGCGUCGUUUUGGCAGAGUAGACCCUUAUCUCUCAAGGUCUUCCUUUCUCACACUUGAUUGGCUGAUGGGUGAAAACAUCUCGGGCUCCCAUGCUGCUUGUUUCCAGGUGUAACAGCUGUUGCUUAUAAACUGACCUUCACUUUGAAAGAGAAGGUUUUUUUGUAUGUUUUGUAUUUUAAAAAGAUACAGUGUAUGUAAGAUACAAGUACAGUAAUCUUCCCACAUACAUAUCUAUACUAAUAAAAGGGUAAUAUGCUAA